GAUGAACGCUGGCGGCGUGCCUAAUACAUGCAAGUCGAGCGAACGGACGAGAAGCUUGCUUCUCUGAUGUUAGCGGCGGACGGGUGAGUAACACGUGGAUAGCCUACCUAUAAGACUGGGAUAACUUCGGGAAACCGGAGCUAAUACCGGAUAAUAUUUUGAACCGCAUGGUUCAAAAGUGAAAGACGGUCUUGCUGUCACUUAUAGAUGGAUCCGCGCUGCAUUAGCUAGUUGGUAAGGUAACGGCUUACCAAGGCAACGAUGCAUAGCCGACCUGAGAGGGUGAUCGGCCACACUGGAACUGAGACACGGUCCAGACUCCUACGGGAGGAAGCAGUAGGGAAUCUUCCGCAAUGGGCGAAAGCCUGACGGAGCAACGCCGCGUGAGUGAUGAAGGUCUUCGGAUCGUAAAACUCUGUUAUUAGGGAAGAACAUAUGUGUAAGUAACUGUGCACAUCUUGACGGUACCUAAUCAGAAAGCCACGGCUAACUACGUG
rnacentral:rRNA from 1 species